AGGCUUGUAGCUCAGGUGGUUAGAGCGCACCCCUGAUAAGGGUGAGGUCGGUUCAAGUCCACUCAGGCCUACCA
rnacentral:tRNA from 1 species